rnacentral:sRNA from 1 species
UAUCUCUCUCACAUCUUCAUUUUAAUUGCAUAAAUAUCGACUAGUUUUUACCAUAACGCGAGCAAAAUGAACGCGUUUCGAGUAUUCAAUUUGAUAGUGCAGAGCUGCCUUAAAAGUACAUUUGAAGAAAUGACUUGACUUGCUCAUCGCGUAACUCGAAAACUUGGCGCCAUUAAAUUUCUGGAAACUUUGCGAGAGGAUGUAUUUCUUAAUUAAGUGCGAGCAAUAUUAUGUAUUGCAUAAAAAAAAAUUAAAAUAGUGGAAGGAAGUAAAAUGUGCAUUGCAAAAUUUAGCAAAGGCAGUUUCGAAGCGGAGAUUAUUGAUUCGCGAGAAGAUUUUAUUUCAUUAGAAGAAGAAAUACUGGACCAGCAAUGUCAAGAACUUAAUAAGGACUUACUAGAAGCAGCCACUAAGUUAAAUGAAAGUUAAGCAACAACGAACGAUGAUAAAUCCGAGGAGCCAUUAACAGCUUAUAAGUCAAAUACUGACACAACAAAUAAAAGCAACCUGGGACAAUUUGAAGCUUUCGCUAGUUUGUGUUCGUUUCAACUGUCUUGUGCUCGUCUUAUAUUUAUAUGUUUCUAACAAAGAUGAUCCUAUAGAGGAUUCCGAAUCAGAUUAUUCUGAACAGCGAUCAGAAAACGACUUCAGUAUUUCCGAUGAUGACAUUGUAGAAAAAUCGAAAAAAAAAGGAAAGCGCCCAAAUAGAUCAUCAUUUGGAAAAACCAUAAGAAACCGUUGGUCGAAUGAAGAGCGUGAAGAAAUAUACCAACGCAGUUAUAAAUAAUUCUACAUAUCUAAAAUGUAGGACACCGGCGCAAGUAAAAACAUGGAUAGAUAAUCAGCGCAAGGCUAAAUCAAGAAAAUCAACUCCGCAAAUAGAUUAAAUAAUGAAUAUGUUGACCAUAUUUAGAACUAA